rnacentral:rRNA from 1 species
AUUCCAGCUCCAAUAGCGUAUAUUUAAGUUGUUGCAGUUAAAAAGCUCGUAGUUGGAUUUUGGGUCGGGGGCACCGGUCCGCCGUUCCGGUGUGCACUGGUGGCCCCUUCCUUUCUGCCGGGGACGUGCGUCGCACUUAAUUGGGUGGCGUUCGGAGUCGGCGUUGUUACUUUGAAAAAAUUAGAGUGUUCAAAGCAAGCCAUCGCUCUGAAUACAUUAGCAUGGAAUAACAUGAUAGGACUCCGGUCUUAUUUUGUUGGUUUCCGAGACUGGAGUAAUGAUUAAGAGGGACAGUCGGGGGCAUCCGUAUUUAAUUGUCAGAGGUGAAAUUCUUGGAUUUAUUAAAGACUAACUUAUGCGAAAGCAUUUGCCAAGGAUGUUUUCAUUG